rnacentral:rRNA from 1 species
GAGUUUGAUCAUGGCUCAGAGUGAACGCUGGCGGCAGGCCUAAUACAUGCAAGUCGAACGGCAGCACAGCAGAGCUUGCUCUGUGGGUGGCGAGUGGCGGACGGGUGAGGAAUACAUGGGAAUCUGCCCAGUCGUGGGGAUAACGUAGGGAAACUUACGCUAAUACCGCAUGCGCCCUUCGGGGGAAAGCCGGGGACCGUAAGGCCUGGCGCGAUUGGAUGAGCCCAUGUCGGAUUAGCUAGUUGGCGGGUAAAGGCCCACCAAGGCGACGAUCCGUAGCUGGUCUGAGAGGAUGAUCAGCCACACUGGAACUGAGACACGGUCCAGACUCCUACGGGAGGCAGCAGUAGGGAAUAUUGGACAAUGGGCGCAAGCCUGAUCCAGCCAUGCCGCGUGAGUGAAGAAGGCCCUCGGGUUGUAAAGCUCUUUUGUCCGGAAAGAAAAGCGCCGGGUUAAUACCCUGGUGUCCUGACGGUACCGGAAGAAUAAGCACCGGCUAACUUCGUG